GGGGUAGAUUCUGUUAAAUAGUUUAUUGUGUUUUGCUCUAUCAUGGAUACGUUUGUCUUAGUGUAUUUUGCAUUACUUUUGUUGUAGAUUAAAUGGCACCUAGCAACACCACACCGUUUGCUUUGCGUUCGGUCUUUGAAAAGGACAAGUUGAAUGGAACAAACUACUCGGAUUGGAUCCGUAACCUGAGAAUUGUUCUCAGGGCCGAUAAAAAGGAAGAUGUUCUAGAC
rnacentral:lncRNA from 1 species